rnacentral:rRNA from 1 species
AGUGAACGCUGGCGGUAGGCCUAACACAUGCAAGUCGAACGGCAGCACAGUAAGAGCUUGCCCUUACGGGUGGCGAGUGGCGGACGGGUGAGGAAUACAUCGGAAUCUACUUUUUCGUGGGGGAUAACGUGGGGAAACUUACGCUAAUACCGCAUACGACCUACGGGUGAAAGCAGGGGAUCUUCGGACCUUGCGCGAUUGAAUGAGCCGAUGUCGGAUUAGCUAGUUGGCGGGGUAAAGGCCCACCAAGGCGACGAUCCGUAGCUGGUCUGAGAGGAUGAUCAGCCACACUGGAACUGAGACACGGUCCAGACUCCUACGGGAGGCAGCAGUGGGGAAUAUUGGACAAUGGGCGCAAGCCUGAUCCAGCCAUACCGCGUGGGUGAAGAAGGCCUUCGGGUUGUAAAGCCCUUUUGUUGGGAAAGAAAAGCAGCAGGUUAAUACCCCGCUGUUCUGACGGUACCCAAAGAAUAAGCACCGGCUAACUUCGUG